CCUACGGGAGGCAGCAGUCGAGAAUCAUUCACAAUGGGGGAAACCCUGAUGGAGCGACGCCGCGUGGGGGAAUGAAGGUCUUCGGAUUGUAAACCCCUGUCAUGUGGGAGCAAAUUAAAAAGAUAGUACCACAAGAGGAAGAGACGGCUAACUCUGUGCCAGCAGCCGCGGUAAUACAGAGGUCUCAAGCGUUGUUCGGAAUCACUGGGCGUAAAGCGUGCGUAGGCUGUUUCGUAAGUCGUGUGUGAAAGGCGCGGGCUCAACCCGCGGACGGCAGAUGAUACUGCGAGGCUAGAGUGAUGGAGGGGGAACCGGAAUUCUCGGUGUAGCGGUGAAAUGCGUAGAUAUCGAGAGGAACACUCGUGGCGAAGGCGGGUUCCUGGACAUUAACUGACGCUGAGGCACGAAGGCCAGGGGAGCGAAAGGGAUUAGAUACCCGUGUAGUC
rnacentral:rRNA from 1 species